rnacentral:rRNA from 1 species
CGUAGGUGACCUGCGGAGGAUCAUUAUCGUACAAUGGGGGUACCCGGGUUGUCGCUGACUUUUCGUCGUGCACGCCCGAGUGCUCUCACAUACAAAUAUCCAUCUCACCCCUUUGUGCAUCACCGCGUGCGUCCCCCCCUUCCUCGGAGGGCGGGUGCUCACGUUUUUAACAUCAAACACCCUAGUGUAGAAUGUUCUUUGCGCGAUCACGCGCGAAUCAAUACAACUUUCAACAACGGAUCUCUUGGCUCUCGCAUCGAUGAAGAACGCAGCGAAAUGCGAUACGUAAUGUGAAUUGCAGAAUUCAGUGAAUCAUCGAAUCUUUGAACGCACCUUGCGCCCCUUGGCAUUCCGAGGGGCACACCCGUUUGAGUGUCGUGAACAUCCUCAACCUGCUUCGUUCUAUCGAACCAAGUAGGCUUGGAAUUUGGAGGUUUUUCUGCUGGCUUCCUCUGAAGCCAGCUCCUCUUAAAUCUAUCAGUGGGAUCCGCUUUGCUAGAUCCUCGACGUUGAUAAGAUGUUUCUACGUCUUGGGUUUCGCUCGGGAAGGACCUGCUUCUAACCGUCCCCAUCGGGGACAAUGUUCGAGAGCCGAUCGCCCUUCACGGGGUGCGAAGCUUUUCGACCCAUGAA